rnacentral:rRNA from 1 species
UACAGGGGGGGCAAGCGUUGUUCGGAAUUACUGGGCGUAAAGGGCCAGUAGGCGGCCAACUAAGUCCGACGUGAAAUCCCUCGGCUUAACCGGGGAACUGCGUCUGAUACUGGAUGGCUUGAGUUUGGGAGAGGGAUGCGGAAUUCCAGGUGUAGCGGUGAAAUGCGUAGAUAUCUGGAGGAACACCGGUGGCGAAGGCGGCAUCCUGGACCAACACUGACGCUGAGGAGCGAAAGCCAGGGGAGCAAACGGG